AACUUUCAACAACGGAUCUCUUGGUUCUGGCAUCGAUGAAGAACGCAGCGAAAUGCGAUAAGUAAUGUGAAUUGCAAAAUUCAGUGAAUCAUCGAAUCUUUGAACGCACAUUGCGCCCGCCAGUAUUCUGGCGGGCAUGCCUGUCCGAGCGU
rnacentral:rRNA from 1 species